rnacentral:rRNA from 1 species
GACGAACGCUGGCGGCGUGCUUAACACAUGCAAGUCGAACGGAAAGGCCCUGCUUUUGUGGGGUGCUCGAGUGGCGAACGGGUGAGUAACACGUGGGUAACCUGCCCUUGACUUUGGGAUAACUUCAGGAAACUGGGGCUAAUACCGGAUAGGAGCUCCUGCUGCAUGGUGGGGGUUGGAAAGUUUCGGCGGUUGGGGAUGGACUCGCGGCUUAUCAGCUUGUUGGUGGGGUAGUGGCUUACCAAGGCUUUGACGGGUAGCCGGCCUGAGAGGGUGACCGGCCACAUUGGGACUGAGAUACGGCCCAGACUCCUACGGGAGGCAGCAGUGGGGAAUAUUGCGCAAUGGGCGGAAGCCUGAUGCAGCAACGCCGCGUGCGGGAUGACGGCCUUCGGGUUGUAAACCGCUUUCGCCUGUGACGAAGCGUGAGUGACGGUAAUGGGUAAAGAAGCACCGGCUAACUACGUG